rnacentral:rRNA from 1 species
UACGUAGGGGGCAAGCGUUGUCCGGAUUUAUUGGGCGUAAAGAGCGUGUAGGCGGCUAGAUAGGUCCGUUGUGAAAACUCGAGGCUCAACCUCGAGACGUCGAUGGAAACCAUCUGGCUAGAGUCCGGAAGAGGAGAGUGGAAUUCCUGGUGUAGCGGUGAAAUGCGCAGAUAUCAGGAAGAACACCGGUGGCGAAGGCGGUUCUCUGGGAAUGUCCUGACGCUGAGGAGCGAAAGUGUGGGGGAGCGAACAGG